CGGACCAAUGUUGAGAGAAGGUCAUGAGCUAAGAACUAUGAUUGCUGCCCUUCUGUGCACCUGAGGUCUAAU
rnacentral:snoRNA from 1 species